rnacentral:misc_RNA from 1 species
ACUCAACGGGGGCAAAACCAUCGCAUAAUACUUAAGGUGGAAAUGAAACAUGAACCAAAGAGGAGAUGUUACCUUUUCCGGUGUAGCGAAAAUGAGCAAGAGAGAGCAGGGGACAACCUUCACCAUAAAACACCGACUCAAGUUAUCGAACGAGCAAAGAGACUUGAAACCAAACCUAUUACUGCUACUCUCUUCUCUCAAAAUAUCAUGG